CUUCAAUGUUUCGAUUAACAGGUCCAUUAUCCGGUUUUUAGUUUCGCUGCACAUUGCCGAAUGACAAUCGGAUUCCUUUAAGCUUUGCUUUUGCCCUGUUUUCUCUCCCCAGUAAUCGUUGGGUGACUGAACCAUCCAGUAGCCGAGAGUUACGUUUUUCCUGAUUUAAUAAAUAUCCAUAUCUAUUUGUCUCGUGGUGUUUUACAGCAACUAACCGAAAUUACUAUUUUGCAUCAUCCAACCAUAAAGAGACAACAAUAAUUCUAGAAAACAUAUAACAAGUGUUUUUUUCUAUUUACGUCUCAUACGCAAAGUCCACUUUACCAUGUUUUGGAAACUUGUACCCAACCAUUCAUUUUUCGAUUUUGUAAUGAGGCUCUUUUCUUCUAACAAUCAUUGAGGUCAUUAUCAUGUGUCCUCACCUAUUGUUUAAAUUGAGGCUUGCGCUAUUCCCAAAAUUGUGGGUAUUAUUUUCAUAUAUCAGUAUCUGCAAUUUCGGUUCAACUUUCUUAUCAAGAAAGAGGAUUAAUUUCUUAACAAAAACCUUCUUUGUUUUAUAACGCUGAUUUUUGUAUUAUUUGGCGACCAAGGUUAUAAGUGAUCCAAUCCAAAUGUCAUAACUUCAGUUGAUCCCUGCGGAAAAUAUAAAUCAGAUUAGACAUAUGGUUAUAUAAAAAAAAAGAGAAAUUAUU
rnacentral:misc_RNA from 1 species